UUCGCAAAUCCUCUCGCAAAUCGAUCGCGUGAACUCGGCUCGUUGCCCAAGUAAGACCUGCUUGUGCGUAAUAACCCAUAUCUUAUAUCGAAAGGGUUUUUAAUCAAGGCAAACGAAUCAAGGAAAGAAAGAUAAUACAUCUUGAGAUGAGCAAACGACUGGAAACCGUAGCCACGAUGACCUGCAUGAAGAUGCUGCUGAUGCUCUUCAAUUUCGUCUUCUGGGCGUCUGGAGUGUUGAUGCUAUGCAUCGGCAUAUGGAUGCGCCUCCAGCUGCGGGAUUACAUGAACAUGAGCGUGCAAGGCAGUGGGGCCGCUUUGCUAGCACUCGCGUGCUUAGGCGCGGUGUUGACCGUCGCUGCGGUUCUCGCCUGUUGCUGCACCGCGCGGGGUCAUCCUGCUCUACUCUAUUUGUACGGCGCGUUCCUGGCUGUUGUGGCGUUGCUAGAACUUGGCGCGGGCGCGUCUGUUUAUGCUUACCGCGCGAGUUUGAACGAGGGAUUCGAUCAAGGCUUGAACGAGAGCAUGGCAGCUUACGGGCAAGACAACUCCAAGAGCAGUCACAUCGAUACUAUGCAAUCGACUUUGCACUGCUGUGGCAAUCGCGGGUAUGCCGAUUGGCUCACUCUGGAACCACCAAAGGAUAUUCCUUUGUCCUGCUGCAAGGUGCCUCAGGAUAAGUGCGAACCGCGGAACCUAGAAGACAUUUAUACUGAGGGAUGCUACAAUCGUGUACUGGACUUCAUAAAUAGCAACAUCGGUGUUGUGGCUGGUACGGCGAUCGGUGUAGCCUUUUUCCCAUUAGUCGGCAUCUUCCUAGCAUGCUGCCUAGCCAGUAAUAUCAAUAAGGCCGAGUACGAGCAGGUUGCUUAGACAAGGGAAAUAUUAACAUCGGUGGAAUAAAUGUUCCUCCUGCACUCAUGGAACAAAUCACUGUUACAAGAGAUCUUCUUUCAGCAGAAACAUAUUACAUGUGGAGUUUUUUUAUGUACUAUGUAGAAACUAGCUUCAUCUACGUUAAAUAUACGAUCAGCGUCAUAGUUAUGUUCUUUAUACAUAUUUUCCAACAUUUUAUAAAAUUCAAGCAUAGAUUCUUUGUUAACUAUUGACUCUGAUGUAUGAUGAAUACUUGGUUUAAAAAUAUCUAAGUUUGAAUGUCUUCUUAUAAAACGAUCAAACCAGA
rnacentral:misc_RNA from 1 species